rnacentral:rRNA from 1 species
CCUACGGGAGGCAGCAGUGGGGAAUUUUGGACAAUGGGUGCAAGCCUGAUCCAGCCAUGCCGCGUGCGGGAAGAAGGCCUUCGGGUUGUAAACCGCUUUCGGCCGGAACGAAAUCGCCCGGGUGAACAUCCCGGGUGGAUGACGGUACCGGAAGAAGAAGCACCGGCUAACUACGUGCCAGCAGCCGCGGUAAUACGUAGGGUGCGAGCGUUAAUCGGAAUUACUGGGCGUAAAGCGUGCGCAGGCGGUCUCGUAAGACAGGUGUGAAAUCCCCGGGCUCAACCUGGGAACUGCGCUUGUGACUGCGAGGCUGGAGUGUGGCAGAGGGAGGUGGAAUUCCACGUGUAGCAGUGAAAUGCGUAGAGAUGUGGAGGAACACCGAUGGCGAAGGCAGCCUCCUGGGCCAGCACUGACGCUCAUGCACGAAAGCGUGGGGAGCAAACAGGAUUAGAUACCCUGGUAGUCCACGCCCUAAACGAUGACGACUAGUUGUUGGGGUAGAAGUACCUUAGUAACGCAGCUAACGCGUGAAGUCGUCCGCCUGGGGAGUACGGUCGCAAGAUUAAAACUCAAAGGAAUUGACGG